AGGAAGAGGAGAGCGAGAAGAAAAAGAAAAACCGAAAGAAUGAGAAACCCAAAGGGAAGAAACAGGGAAAAUCUCCCAGCGAUGAUGAGGCCGAAGGCUCCGAGGAGGCCAAGGGCAAAAAGAACAAAUUUGGAGCCCUGAGAAAGGAAGAGGAGGAGGAGGAAGAGGAGGAAGAGGAAGGAGCCCAGAAAGGAAGUGAGAAUGUGAGU